UGCAGCCUUCACAUUUAGGUCUCAGGAAAGGGGGAGCAAUUUCUCUGAAGAUGCGUUCAGGAGAAAGCUCAGCAUUUUUCUCCUUCAGGUCUGCCUGACAACAGGGAGAAUGUCUAGGUCCACACUUCUGUGAGUCAAGAGACUCCAGCCCUGCUAGGGAGGCCUGCAGGAGGGUACCAACCAACAGCCUUUGGGGAGCAGCACCUGCAGUUACAUUCAAAGGCAUGACUUUUCCAAGCAGUUUGUGAACUGGCCGGCAUUGUCCCUGAAAGGAUAAAGGCCUAGGUUCUUUACCUGACUGGCAGAAGCAUUCCAGCACCACGAAAGGACUCUAAACAUUGUUUUCACAACCCUCAGGGCUCAUGAUGUAAUGGCCAG